UACGGGGGGGGCAAGCGUUGUUCGGAAUUACUGGGCGUAAAGGGCUCGUAGGCGGCCAACUAAGUCAGACGUGAAAUCCCCAGGCUCAACCUGGGAACUGCGUCUGAUACUGGAUGGCUUGAAUCGGGAGAGGGAUGCGAAUUCCAGGUGUAGCGGUGAAAUGCGUAGAUAUCUGGAGGAACACCGGUGGCGAAGGCGGCAUCCUGGACCGGCAUUGACGCUGAGGCGCGAAAGCCAGGGGAGCAAACGGG
rnacentral:rRNA from 1 species